AAUUCACAUAUCCACCAAAUCGACUCUCAACUCCAACCUUAUUGCUCAACAAAAAGAGCAAUUGAUUCCUUCACAGGACUCGCUAGCAUUGACUACACACAAAUGUCCUAGUCCCGGCACGAAUCCGAAACCCUAGCCCAACUACAUCCUCAAACAAAAAACGCAAGGACCAUACCGAAGCGAGUCCAAGAGCUUAGAUCUAGCACAAACCUUCGUU